UCGGGAAUUUUGGGCAAUGGGGGAAACCCUGACCCAGCAACGCCGCGUGAAGGAUGAAGUAUUUCGGUAUGUAAACUUCGAAAGAAUAGGAAGAAUAAAUGACGGUACUAUUUAUAAGGUCCGGCUAACUACGUGCCAGCAGCCGCGGUAAUACGUAGGGACCAAGCGUUGUUCGGAUUUACUGGGCGUAAAGGGCGCGUAGGCGGCAUGACAAGUCACUUGUGAAAUCUCUGGGCUUAACCCAGAACGGCCAAGUGAUACUGUCGCGCUAGAGUGCAGAAGGGGCAAUCGGAAUUCUUGGUGUAGCGGUGAAAUGCGUAGAUAUCAAGAGGAACACCUGAGGUGAAGACGGGUUGCUGGGCUGACACUGACGCUGAGGCGCGAAAGCUAGGGUAGCAAACGGGAUUAGAUACCCAAGUAGUCCCUGAGCGGGCUGGCAAGGCGCAU
rnacentral:rRNA from 1 species